rnacentral:rRNA from 1 species
GGGUUGUGAGGUUAAGCGACUAAGCGUACACGGUGGAUGCCCUGGCAGUCAGAGGCGAUGAAGGACGUGCUAAUCUGCGAAAAGCGACGGCGAGGUGAUAUGAACCUUUGACCCGUCGAUGUCCGAAUGGGGAAACCCAGUGUGUUUCGACACACUAUCGUUAACUGAAUACAUAGGUUAACGAGGCGAACCGGGGGAACUGAAACAUCUAAGUACCCCGAGGAAAAGAAAUCAACCGAGAUUCCCCCAGUAGCGGCGAGCGAACGGGGAGCAGCCCGGAGUCUGAAUCAGCUUGUGUGUUAGUGGAAGCGUCUGGAAAGUCGCACGGUACAGGGUGACAGUCCCGUACACGAAAAUGCACAGGUUGUGAACUCGAAGAGUAGGGCGGGACACGUGGUAUCCUGUCUGAAUAUGGGGGGACCAUCCUCCAAGGCUAAAUACUCCUGACUGACCGAUAGUGAACCAGUACCGUGAGGGAAAGGCGAAAAGAACCCCGGCGAGGGGAGUGAAAAAGAACCUGAAACCGUGUACGUACAAGCAGUGGGAGCACCUUCGUGGUGUGACUGCGUACCUUUUGUAUAAUGGGUCAGCGACUUAUAUUCUGUAGCAAGGUUAACCGUAUAGGGGAGCCGCAGGGAAACCGAGUCUUAACUGGGCGUUAAGUUGCAGGGUAUAGACCCGAAACCCGGUGAUCUAGCCAUGGGCAGGUUGAAGGUUGGGUAACACUAACUGGAGGACCGAACCGACUAAUGUUGAAAAAUUAGCGGAUGACCUGUGGCUGGGGGUGAAAGGCCAAUCAAACCGGGAGAUAGCUGGUUCUCCCCGAAAGCUAUUUAGGUAGCGCCUCGUGAACUCAUCUUCGGGGGUAGAGCACUGUUUCGGCUAGGGGGCCAUCCCGGCUUACCAACCCGAUGCAAACUACGAAUACCGAAGAAUGUUAUCACGGGAGACACACGGCGGGUGCUAACGUCCGUCGUGAAGAGGGAAACAACCCAGACCGCCAGCUAAGGUCCCAAAGUCAUGGUUAAGUGGGAAACGAUGUGGGAAGGCACAGACAGCCAGGAUGUUGGCUUAGAAGCAGCCAUCAUUUAAAGAAAGCGUAAUAGCUCACUGGUCGAGUCGGCCUGCGCGGAAGAUGUAACGGGGCUAAACCAUGCACCGAAGCUGCGGCAGCGACACUAUGUGUUGUUGGGUAGGGGAGCGUUCUGUAAGCCGUUGAAGGUGUGCUGUGAGGCAUGCUGGAGGUAUCAGAAGUGCGAAUGCUGACAUAAGUAACGAUAAAGCGGGUGAAAAGCCCGCUCGCCGGAAGACCAAGGGUUCCUGUCCAACGUUAAUCGGGGCAGGGUGAGUCGACCCCUAAGGCGAGGCCGAAAGGCGUAGUCGAUGGGAAACAGGUUAAUAUUCCUGUACUUGGUGUUACUGCGAAGGGGGGACGGAGAAGGCUAUGUCAGCCGGGCGACGGUUGUCCCGGUUUAAGCGUGUAGGUGUGUGUUCCAGGCAAAUCCGGUUCACUUUAACACUGAGGCGUGAUGACGAGGCACUACGGUGCUGAAGUGAUAAAUGCCCUGCUUCCAGGAAAAGCCUCUAAGCAUCAGGUAACACGAAAUCGUACCCCAAACCGACACAGGUGGUCAGGUAGAGAAUACCAAGGCGCUUGAGAGAACUCGGGUGAAGGAACUAGGCAAAAUGGUGCCGUAACUUCGGGAGAAGGCACGCUGAUAUGUAGGUGAAGUCCCUGCGGACGGAGCUGAAAUCAGUCGAAGAUACCAGCUGGCUGCAACUGUUUAUUAAAAACACAGCACUGUGCAAACACGAAAGUGGACGUAUACGGUGUGACGCCUGCCCGGUGCCGGAAGGUUAAUUGAUGGGGUUAGCGGCAACGCGAAGCUCUUGAUCGAAGCCCCGGUAAACGGCGGCCGUAACUAUAACGGUCCUAAGGUAUCGAAAUUCCUUGUCGGGUAAGUUCCGACCUGCACGAAUGGCGUAAUGAUUGCCAGGCUGUCUCCACCCGAGACUCCGUGAAAUUGAACUCGCUGUGAAGAUGCAGUUUACCCGCGGCAAGACUGAAAGAACCCGUGAACCUUUACUAUAGCUUGACACUGAACACUGGUCCUUGAUGUGUAGGAUAGGUGGGAGGCUUUGAAGCGUGGACGCCAGUCUGCGUGGAGCCGUCCUUGAAAUACCACCCUUUAAUGGCUGGUGUUCUAACGUAGACCCGUGAUCCGGGUUGCGGACAGUGUCUGGUGGGUAGUUUGACUGGGGCGGUCUCCUCCCAAAGAGUAACGGAGGAGCACGAAGGUUAGCUAAUCCUGGUCGGACAUCAGGAGGUUAGUGCAAUGGCAUAAGCUAGCUUGACUGCGAGAGUGACGGCUCGAGCAGGUGCGAAAGCAGGUCAUAGUGAUCCGGUGGUUCUGAAUGGAAGGGCCAUCGCUCAACGGAUAAAAGGUACUCCGGGGAUAACAGGCUGAUACCGCCCAAGAGUUCAUAUCGACGGCGGUGUUUGGCACCUCGAUGUCGGCUCAUCACAUCCUGGGGCUGAAGUAGGUCCCAAGGGUAUGGCUGUUCGCCAUUUAAAGUGGUACGCGAGCUGGGUUUAGAACGUCGUGAGACAGUUCGGUCCCUAUCUGCCGUGGGCGCUGGAGAAUUGAGGGGGGCUGCUCCUAGUACGAGAGGACCGGAGUGGACGCAUCACUGGUGUUCGGGUUGUCAUGCCAAUGGCACUGCCCGGUAGCUAAAUGCGGAAGAGAUAAGUGCUGAAAGCAUCUAAGCACGAAACUUGCCCCGAGAUGAGUUCUCCCUGAGACUAUAAGUCUCCUGAAGGAACGUUGAAGACGACGACGUUGAUAGGCCGGGUGUGUAAGCGCAGCGAUGCGUUGAGCUAACCGGUACUAAUGAACCGUGAGGCUUAACCUUACAACGCCGAAGCUGUU